rnacentral:rRNA from 1 species
GAUGAACGCUAGCGGCAGGCCUAAUACAUGCAAGUCGAGGGAGAAUGUUGGAUUCGUCUGACAUGAAACCGGCGCACGGGUGCGUAACACGUAUGCAACCUACCUUUAACUGGGGUAUAGCUCAGAGAAAUCUGAAUUAAUCCCCCAUAAGACUACGACAUGGCAUCAUGAUGUAGUUAAAGCUCCGGCGGUUAAGGAUGGGCAUGCGGUACAUUAGCUAGUUGGUGAGGUAUGGCUCACCAAGGCUACGAUGUAUAGGGGGUCUGAGAGGAUGAUCCCCCACACUGGUACUGAGACACGGACCAGACUCCUACGGGAGGCAGCAGUAGGGAAUAUUGGUCAAUGGACGCAAGUCUGAACCAGCCAUGCCGCGUGAAGGAUGAAGGCCCUAUGGGUCGUAAACUUCUUUUAUUAGGUAAGAAAAAACGGGAUGCGUCCUGUACUGACGGUACUUAAUGAAUAAGGAUCGGCUAACUUCGUGCCAGCAGCCGCGGUAA